rnacentral:rRNA from 1 species
UACGGGGGGGGCAAGCGUUGUUCGGAAUUACUGGGCGUAAAGGGCGCGUAGGCGGUCAGACCAAGUCGAGUGUGAAAUUCCGGGGCUUAACUCUGGCGCGCUCGCUCGAUACUGGUCGGCUAGAGUGUGGAAGAGGAUGCUGGAAUUCCCGGUGUAGCGGUGAAAUGCGUAGAUAUCAGGAGGAAUACCUAUGGCGAAAGCAGGUAUCUGGGCCAUCACUGACGCUGAGCUGCGAAAGCUAGGGGAGCAAACAGG